rnacentral:lncRNA from 11 species
UUUUCUCUCACAGUGCAGUUGAUGGGAACAAGGAAGAGGGCCUUCUUGGAAGCUGCUCUCAGACUUUGGAACUCCCUCUUCAAAGAAGUCAGGAUCACUCCACCUUUACUCUCUUUCUGGUGACAGAAUACUUCAGACUGUGGUAGAACUUCGAACCAAGAUUCACACAACAAGCUCAAUGAGCACACAGAUUUCUGUAGAAGGUCAUGUUUACACGGCCCUUUAUGCCAUUCUAAAAGAUCAAAAGUGUGUUUUUGCUCUCAGAAAGGAAGUUUUAUUGUGAAAAAACUCAGAAAAGGUAGAAAAAUAAAGAGAAAUUGCUGGGGAAGAAAGGAAAAAGAAGAAUUCUUGGUUGCAUCAUCACAUAAUUAUGUGUAUUUGUAAAUAAACACUUACAAGACUAUGGGACCAGGUGCUAUGUUUUAACAGUUUUAAUUGUAUUAUAUGUUUAAUCUGUUUUUACUGCUCAAUGUGAUGUAUUUGUAUAUUUGUAUUUGCAAUGUGGCAUUGAAACCACCAAAACUGUAAGCUGCUCUCAGUCCCCUUUAAUAUGAGUGGGGUAGAAAUGUAGAAAAAAAUAAUAAAUAUUGUGCAGUAAUGCUGACAUUAAUAUAUAGGCUGUGUUGCAUGUCAAUUAACAGUCCUAAAUAGCAGAUAUUGUUGAUUAGUAUGGAUAUUCUACAAGACAAUUAGUUUUCAUUUUUCUCUGUUAUUAAUUGCCUUAUUAGGAAUGCAGAUCAAUGCCCACAAUGUAAAAUGAAAACAAACAAACAAAUAAAAAUCAAU